rnacentral:rRNA from 1 species
GUGGGGAAUAUUGGACAAUGGGCAAAAGCCUGAUCCAGCCAUGCCGCGUGUGUGAAGAAGGUCUUCGGAUUGUAAAGCACUUUAAGUUGGGAGGAAGGGCAGUAAGCUAAUACCUUGCUGUUUUGACGUUACCGACAGAAUAAGCACCGGCUAACUUCGUGCCAGCAGCCGCGGUAAUACGAAGGGUGCAAGCGUUAAUCGGAAUUACUGGGCGUAAAGCGCGCGUAGGUGGUUCAGCAAGUUGGAGGUGAAAUCCCCGGGCUCAACCUGGGAACUGCCUCCAAAACUACUGAGCUAGAGUACGGUAGAGGGUAGUGGAAUUUCCUGUGUAGCGGUGAAAUGCGUAGAUAUAGGAAGGAACACCAGUGGCGAAGGCGACUACCUGGACUGAUACUGACACUGAGGUGCGAAAGCGUGGGGAGCAAACAGGAUUAGAUACCCGUGUAGUCC